rnacentral:rRNA from 1 species
AGAGUUUGAUCAUGGCUCAGAACGAACACUGGCGGCGUGGAUUAGGCAUGCAAGUCGAACGAGAAAGCUCCCUUCGGGGAGUGAGUAGAGUGGCGAACGGGUGAGUAACGCGUGGGAAACCUGCCCUUCAGCGGGGGAUAACAGUCCUAACGGUCUGCUAAUACCGCAUACGUCCUCCCGACCUCAUGAUCGGGUGGAGAAAGUCGGCCUCUUCUUGAAAGCUGACACUGAAGGAUGGUCCCGCGUCCCAUUAGCUUGUUGGUAGGGUAACGGCCUACCAAGGCGACGAUGGGUAGCCGGCCUGAGAGGGUGUCCGGCCACACUGGGACUGAGAUACGGCCCAGACUCCUACGGGAGGCAGCAGUCGAGAAGCUUCCGCAAUGGGGGAAACCCUGACGGAGCGACGCCGCGUGAGUGAUGAAGGCCCUAGUGGUCGUAAAACUCUGUCAGAUUGGGAAGAAAACCUCACGGUCAAUACCCGUGGGGGGGACGG